GUCGUCGACCUUCGGCCGGCUGACUCAGCGGGUGGACCUGAGCGAGGCCGAGCUGGAGGGAAACAUCCGCCAGCUGAGCUUCAGGAUCCAGAGACUGGAGAACAUCCAGAGGAGGUCUAAAGCCUUCAGGAACAGAGCGACGGAGCUGGAGACGCAGCUGGAGGUCUUCUCGGUUCAGUACCUGCAGGGGACCUGAGAGCGGCGCCCCCUGCUGACGGACCGAGGACCGCCUCCUCUCUGAGGACCAGUACAGAAAACUUUCCUUCAUUAUUCCAUCUCAGUGUGAACUCUGUUUUCUUUAAAAAAUCAACAAAAAAUUACAGAAAACGACACCAAAACCUUUCUUAAAGAAAUACCCAAUUUUUAAUUUUUAAAGAAAAAAAAUUCACCAGUUUUUCUUUAAACUCACCAAAAAAUAAGGAAGCUUUUUUUUAAAAAAUGUUUUUCUUAAAAAGAGUUUUUUCAAUUAAAAGUCGCAGUAAAAACAGUAAAAAAUGCGUCCAUUUACAGUCGGAUGUUCCUCCCCGAAAGCAGAAAUAAAAGAAGCCCCUGCUGAAGCGGCAGAAAAACGCUCCCCCGCAUCAAUAACACGCAGUCCCUAACAACGACGUCUCACUCCGCUCGCGUCCUGAGCCCAUCAUCCAUCACGUCUGAACGUUCGAUGGAUGACAAAACCAAAAAUCUCAUUUCAUUUAACAUAUAAAAAUAACGGCGCUUUUUCUUUUUCUUUAAUGAAUUCAUUUAUUCACUUUUGUCUUUGGAUUCUUUAGAUUUGUCGUCAGAAUCUGUUUUUUGGAAGUUUUUAGUAGUUUUGAGAAGUUUUUGGCUGAUAAACGUUUGUCUGUAAAAGACUUUGUGACUGAAAGUUUAAACUGAUUUACUGGAUGAAGAUGUUUUGUGAAAACAUGUUAAAAACAAUAAACUGUGCAAAUAAAA